rnacentral:rRNA from 1 species
GACGAACGCUGGCGGCGUGCUUAACACAUGCAAGUCGAACGGAAAGGCCCUGCUUUUGUGGGGUGCUCGAGUGGCGAACGGGUGAGUAACACGUGAGUAACCUGCCCUUGACUUUGGGAUAACUUCAGGAAACUGGGGCUAAUACCGGAUAGGAGCUCCUGCUGCAUGGUGGGGGUUGGAAAGUUUCGGCGGUUGGGGAUGGACUCGCGGCUUAUCAGCUUGUUGGUGGGGUAGUGGCUUACCAAGGCUUUGACGGGUAGCCGGCCUGAGAGGGUGACCGGCCACCUGGGGCAGGGGGAACGGCCCAGACUCCUCGGGGAGGCAGGAGGGGGGAAUUUUGCACAAUGGGCGGAAGCCUGAUGCAGAAACGCCGGGUGGGGGAUGGCGGCCUUCGGGUUGUAAACCGCUUUCGCCUGUAACGAAGCGUGAGUGACGGUAAUGGGUAAAGAAGCACCGGCUAACUACGU